rnacentral:lncRNA from 1 species
GCUCUCCAACGCCAGCGCCGCCUCUCGCUCGCCGAGCUCCAGCCGAAGGAGAAGGGGGGAGGCAAGUGAGGCCUAUCUGGUUGGCCUUUUUGAAGACACCAACCUGUGUGCUAUCCAUGCCAAACGUGUAACAAUUAUGCCAAAAGACAUCCAGCUAGCACACAGCAUACGUGGAGAACGUGCUUAAGAAUCCACUAUGAUGGGAAACAUUUCAUUCUCAAAAAAAAAAAAAUUUCUCUUCUUCCUGUUAUUGGUAGUUCUGAACGUUAGAUAAUUUUUUUCCAUGGGGUCAAAAGGUACCUAAGUAUAUGAUUGCGAGUGGAAAAAUAGGGGACAGAAAUCAGGUAUUGGCAGUUUUUCCAUUUUCAUUUGUGUGUGAAUUUUUAAUAUAAAUGCGGAGACGUAAAGCAUUAAUGCAAGUUAAAAUGUUUCAGUGAACAAGUUUCAGCGGUUCAACUUUAUAAUAAUUAUAAAUAAACCUGUUAAAUUUUUCUGGACAAUGCCAGCAUUUGGAUUUUUUUAAAACAAGUAAAUUUCUUAUUGAUGGCAACUAAAUGGUGCUUGUAGCAUUUUUAUCAUACAGUAGAUUCCAUCCAUUCACUAUACUUUUCUAACUGAGUUGUCCUACAUGCAAGUACAUGUUUUUAAUGUUGUCUGUCUUCUGUGCUGUUCCUGUAAGUUUGCUAUUAAAAUACAUUAAACUAUUAAAAGAAAAAAGAAACACAUACUUGUAGACUCUAAUAGGAUUCGAGAAAAAGCAAAAUCCUUGUAUGACAACUUUAAGCAAAAG